UUAUUCAUCUUAUAUCUGAAAGUUUGAUCACAAACUCCCCCUUUCCCCAUCCCCAGCUUCAAGUAACCAGCAUUCUACUAUGUUACUAUGAGGUAGACUUUUUUUUUUUUUGUAAUGUUUUAUUCUUUUCCCUUGGUCAUGGAAAAAUAGACGUUUGUUACAUUAUACUUUUCAUGAAAAGUAGAUGUUCAUUAUAUAUGUCUGAGAUUUUCAUAAUGUGAUGAAAAUCUUGAAUGCACUUGAAAAUAAAAGUAUAAUCUUAUACAUAUAUUUAGUAGUAAAUUCAUAUAUAUACAAGUGCUUUUGUUAUAAGCAUCAGUAAAUAUUUAAUAUUAGCUUUUUUUAAAGAGUGUGGGGGAAGACACAACAUUGAUUAUUCACUGUUCUAAAAAGUAAUCGUAUUAUGCUCAACAGGGAUGGAAAGUUCGUUUGGAUCAAUGAUUCUCAUGAGCAUCUUCUAGUAAGAGUUUUUUUUUAUAUGGCCAAUAUGGCCAUAUCUGCUUCUGCCUAUUCAGACGAUUUCUCUCUAAAGUGUCCCUCAAUCCCAAUGACAAAUUAGUAAGAAUUUCCCCAUGGCUGGAGCAAGGUGGAAGUUUUUACUAACUUAGAUGGCCAUUACUUCUCGCUGGCCUUAGGGAUUUAGGAUUGAUUGAAAGGCUGAAUGACCACAAGUCACUGUCAGAUAUUUUUUUCUGGAAUUAAAGAUCAAGUAAAAUUUUAGUUGACUGCCUGAUAAUUUAUUUUGGAGAAUUCUAUUUGAUAUCAACUAAUACCAAAAGCACCAUUGGGUCCUGUUGUUUGAAUCCCUGAAUGAAUGAAUGGAAGAAACAAGGCUACACUACGCCCCCUAGGGAUUUUUUCCCCCUCUUUGAUAAAGCUUUUUGCAUUUCCUCCUGGCUUAGGCCUCAUAGUUUGGAAAAGAAAACAUUAGGUUGGGGUGUUGGGUUGGGAGACAUCUCUAAUCUUCCUAAGGAUGUUACACUGGCUUACAUGUUGCCUUCUGUCAUACCCAUAAUCACUUUUAUUUAGUAGAGGUAGUACAGGAGAUGCAUUGGAAAAGCCCUAAGUUUCUGGGUUCUCCAUUUCCUCUGGUUUCUCCCAGAUAACUCCAUUCAAACCAAGAGUGCAAGUUUACCUAGUCAGCACACUUAUUUUUAUUUUAGGAAUUGGCUGCAUCAUGGUUUGAUUGCUUCAAUUAGCAAAGUUCAUGAUUAUAGAAAUUGCAGUGGUCUCAAUAACACUGGCUAAAGUCAGAAAGGACAUCCUUAACAGAGCUUUCCCCGUCUUCAUUGUGGAUUUUCAGGUGAACAAACAUGGAUUUCAGCACUUAUUAUUUAACUUAAAAAAAUCUUUCAGUACCCAGGCAAGAAACUGAUGGCAUGCUCAAAAUAAGUCUUUUGAGAAUAAAUUAGUAAACAGACUAAUAUGAGUGUUUAGGGUAUAGGAAAACCAGUGAUAGGGAGUGUGGUAUCCAAGGACUAACUCUCAUGACCCUGAGACCUAAAAAUACAAAUGGAGGGAUCUGUUACUGAAACUUGGUGGCAGAUGUAUGGAGAGAUGCCUGGCAGGAGCUGUGGGUCUUCAGAGAAUGACUCAACUAUGGUGAUGCAACAGAGUUGGAAGCAUGGGGAUAAAAGUCUGACUUCAAUUUUCUUCUGCCCAUUUAUUUCCUCUCAUUGUCAGAUCCCAACCAGACACAAAAGGUCAAGGCAAAUCACUGAUGCCAUCCAUAUGAGUCAGUCUAUCAUGGCGCACAGCCUGGUGGAGAAGGGUGAAGAGUGGCUCUAAAGGGACAAAUGUAAGAUAGCCAACAUGCCUCACUCUCUAUCCGUUUUUUUAAGAUGACUUUUUAACAGCAUUUUUAACUUCACUGCCAAAUUGAGAGGACAUGGAGAUUUCCAAUGUACCCCUUGCCCCCACAUAUACAUAGCCUGCCCCAUUAUCUACAUCUCCCAGCAGUGUGGUACAUUUGUUACAACUGAUGAACCCACACUGACAUAUCACAAGUACUCAAAAAGUCCAUAGCAUACUUUAGGGUUCAUUUUUCCUGUUGCACAGUCUAUGGAUCUAGAUAAAUGUAUGACACGUAUGCAUAAUUAUAGUCUCAUACACACUCUUUUUGCUGCCCUAAAAAUCCUCUGUGCCUCACUUAGUCACCCCUUCCCCCGGGCAACCAAUGACCUUUUUACAGUUUCCAUAGUUUUGCCUUUUCCAGAAUGUCAUAUAGUUGGAAUGAUAUAGUAGUAGCCUCCACAGACUGGCUUCUUUUACUUAGCAAUAUACAUUUAAGGUUCUUUCAUGUCUUUUCAUGGCUUAACAGCACAUUUAUUUUUAGCACCAAAUAAUUUUUAUAUUUUUUUCCUGAAGAUCACAAGAGUAGCUUACACCAUCUGAUACAAAGGCAAUUUCCUAGAACUCUCUCUGAAGCUUAAGCCACAGUGGUUAUAUAUGCUGAAUCUUAUACUCUUGAGUCACAUGGCCAACAGCAGAUACUUAACCUACAUUUCCUGUGAUUAUAUAUAGCUCCAGAAAACCUAAGAAAGUCUAAAUCAUGUUCUAAUCCCAGAUUCUUGGGAAAGGCAUUCUUUUAGGCCUGAGAUUGGUUCAGGAACAGAUUAACUUUGAUAUAUCAAUUAUUUCAGACUGGAGCAUAUACAAGUCCACAAAGCAGAAACACGUUGCUUGGAUCACUUCUAAUCAUGUGGAUGAGAGAGUGGGGUAAGCAGUUCUAUGGAGUGAAAAGAAAACCCAAUAGCUAGCUGUUCAAUAGUGGUCAUCAUAUUUAUUCUUGUGAUAUAUUCUCUACUAAUAUAAGCUAUCAUUAUAAAAUAGUGAAAUGAUCUUUAGAUUCAGGUUCAUAAACCUUGUUUUGAAUCACUACUCUGUGACCUAGAGGCCAUGUGUUAUUCAAUGAGUCACUAAAAUCUCUGAACCUCAAUACCAUUAUCUCUAAAACUGACUUCAACAAUACACGCUCUCACUACCCAAUGGGCUUUCAUGACCAAAAGACUAUAAAGAAAUUAUUAUGAGUGAAUAAAGUGAGAUAAUGUAUGUGAAAGCUCUUUCAGAAAUUCUAAGUCAACUCAAUUUUAAGUUGUAUUGUUGAACAGCAAUUUCUCCCAUGCUAUUUCUAACUUCUCAAGUUAGAUACAUAUAGAUCACUAAUUUUCAUUCCUUCUUCCUUUUAAAUAUAGAAUAAAAUGCUAUACAUUUCACUUUAAAUAUGACAGUUGAAUCCCAUGAGUCUUGAUAUGGUUAUUUUCAUUAUCAUUCAGUUCUAAAUGCUUCUCAAUUUCCAUUUUUACAUAGUCUUUGAUCCAUGAAUUUUUUUAGAUAUGGUCCUUUAAAAUUCCAAAUCCUAUGAAUUUUUAUGUUGUUUUUUUGGUUUGUAGCUCAGUUUCAUUGUGGCCAGAGAAUGAAGUGUGUAUUCUUUGAAAUGUGUCAUGGUAUAUUGUUACUUUGUGGCUCCUAAUGAACCAUAGUUCCCUUUAUUCAUUCCCUUCUAUAAUAUAUCCCUGCCAUAUUGACUCUUGGCUUGGCUAUGUGGUAAGCUAUAGAAAAUGGAACAUUAGCAGUCAUGAUACAAGAUGGAGCUUGAUAAGCACUAGCAAUUAGAGUCUGUCCUCUUGGAACUUAAUUUCUGGGAAUCUAACUACAAUGCUGUAGAAAGCCUUAUGGAAAGUUCAUGUGUUUUGGUUAUCUGUUGCCAUGUAACAAACACCCCCAAAAUUUAAGGGCAUGAAACAACAACUUAUUUCUCAUUAUUUUAUGAGUUGGCUAGGUGGUUCUUCUGCUUAAUGUAGGAAUGUCAACUGGGGCAGCUGGAAUGUCCAAAGUGGCUUCAUUCAUAUGGCUGGGAGAUGUCUGGAAACAUAGCUGGGGAUGUUGGCCAGGGACCUAGUUGCUCUCCCAUGUGUGCAUUCCCACAUGGUUGCUUGUGCCUCCUCCCAACUUAGUAGCUGGGUUCUAAGAAAUGUUUCAAAAGGAUAUAGCAUUACUUAGCAGAACCAGUACUCCAAGAGGGAAAGGAGCGAACAGACAAAUAUAGAUAACACUGUAUUUGAGAAGCAUAAACUUUAAAAAAGUCUAGCAUUCUAGAUACAGAUUCCACAAAAGCAGAAGUACUAGAACAGGGAGUCUAAUAAUAUAUAAUUAGUCUAAUAAAGCCUACUAAAAGAGAUAAAGAACAAUAUAAGCCAUAUGAAGCAAGAAUAUAAGAAGAUGACAAAAAUAAUAUUAGGUAGCAAAAAUAUAAUAAUUGAAAUAAAGUAUGUAGUAUAGGAGAUAAAGAGCAGAAUGGGUAACUGAGGAAGAAAUCAGAUUUGUGGACUAGACUAAGAAACCCCAUAGAGAGAAGAAAAGAAGAAGAUAUAGGAACUAUAAAAGAAAAGCUAAGAAAUAUGGAGCAUAGGAGUAGGCAUACUAUCAGAAAGU
rnacentral:lncRNA from 1 species